rnacentral:rRNA from 1 species
AUUGAACGCUGGCGGCAUGCCUUACACAUGCAAGUCGAACGGCAGCGGACCUUCGGGUGCCGGCGAGUGGCGAACGGGUGAGUAAUGCAUCGGAACGUGCCAUUGAGUGGGGGAUAACGUAGCGAAAGUUACGCUAAUACCGCAUAUUCUGUGAGCAGGAAAGCAGGGGACCGCAAGGCCUUGCGCUCUUUGAGCGGCCGAUGUCAGAUUAGCUAGUUGGUGAGGUAAAGGCUUACCAAGGCGACGAUCUGUAGCGGGUCUGAGAGGAUGAUCCGCCACACUGGAACUGAGACACGGUCCAGACUCCUACGGGAGGCAGCAGUGGGGAAUUUUGGACAAUGGGCGCAAGCCUGAUCCAGCCAUGCCCGCGUGAGUGAAGAAGGCCUGGUGU